rnacentral:sRNA from 1 species
GCUGGGUGUGGUGGCACAUACCUGUAAUCCCAGACACUUGGGAGGCUGAAGCAGGAGGAUCUCAAGGUUGAGGCCAGCUUCAG